UACAGAGGUGGCAAGCGUUGUUCGGAAUUACUGGGCGUAAAGGGCGCGUAGGCGGCCUUAUAAGUCUCGUGUGAAAGCCCUCGGCUUAACUGAGGAUCUGCACGGGAUACUGUAGGGCUCGAGUUCGGGAGAGGAAAGCGGAAUUCCGGGUGUAGCGGUGAAAUGCGUAGAUAUCCGGAGGAACACCAGUGGCGAAGGCGGCUUUCUGGACCGACACUGACGCUGAGGCGCGAAAGCUAGGGGAGCAAACAGG
rnacentral:rRNA from 1 species